UCACAAUAUUCACAAUCUUAAAAAUUCAACUUUUACAAGGUCCAACAGUUAGUUCACAGGCAAACCCAGAGGUGGACUGUUAAUGCUUGUGAUUACAACUCACUUCAGUCACAUCCCUCAGAGUGAUGCAACAAUGGAUGAUCAUUACUGUGAACUGCAAAUCAUGGCUGCCAACAUCAGUGGGCAGAAGAAAACAUGACAGUGACUACAGAAGGAGGAGCACAGACAUGGCCUAGAAAGGAAUUCCUUCAGUAUGAGAGAGACAGUGGUCUAUGCAGAUACUACCUGAGUUCAAAGGGCACAGAGAUCCGAUUAAGAAAGGGUGUAUUUGCAUGAACGUCUGAGAUGCUGUUGUGGAAUAAUAUGCUUAGUCAUCAACUACCAAAAAUGCCAUCUUGGUUGAACGAACGGCUUGUGGAAGUCCUGCUGCCUUGGGUAGGGGUUAAAAAUUGUUCUUGAGAAGAACGUCUUUGUCCGAAGAGAAAAUGAGUUUAGCUCUGAGAAGCGAGCUUGUAGUAGACAAAACUAAGAGGAAAAAAAGAAGAGAACUCACUGAGGCACAGAAACAAGAAAUUAAAGAUGCUUUUGAGUUAUUUGAUACAGACAAAGAUGAAGCAAUAGAUUAUCAUGAAUUAAAGGUGGCAAUGAGAGCCUUGGGGUUUGAUGUAAAAAAGGCUGAUGUACUGAAGAUUCUUAAAGAUUAUGACAGAGAAGCCACAGGGAAAAUCACCUUUGAAGAUUUUAAUGAAGUUGUGACAGACUGGAUAUUGGAAAGAGAUCCACAUGAAGAAAUACUGAAGGCAUUUAAACUAUUUGAUGAUGAUGAUUCAGGUAAAAUCAGCUUGAGGAAUUUGCGGCACGUUGCCAGAGAAUUGGGUGAAAACAUGAGUGAUGAAGAACUCCGAGCUAUGAUAGAAGAAUUUGAUAAAGAUGGUGAUGGAGAAAUAAAUCAAGAGGAGUUCAUUGCUAUUAUGACUGGUGACGUUUAAAAAAUUGCAAGGAUAAACACUAAGAAUGUUGCAGUUACCAUCUUAUAUUCUAUUUUUGUGCCUGGAGCCAUGUAAAAAAAGAAACUAACUUUGUUGUUUUUUUCCAAAAGGACCAAAAAUACGCAUCUUGUGUAUUUGUAUUUUACUACUGUUAAGUUUCUUUGUAUGAACUGUGUUAUUAGUACUCAAAUAGUUUAGCUUUGUAUUUAUAAUACAGCUUUUAUAUAAAGUUUUAAAAAAAUUGAAAAAAAAUGCCAUCUUGCAGCAGAACAAGGGGCUUACAUGACUCUAAAUUGCCAAUAGCUGGGAGAAUGGGUCAACUUUAUGAAUGCAGUUAAAGUAAUGCCACAAGCUUUAUAGGAAAUUAGUGUUUGUUUGUAUUCUGUUCUCUGAGCUGACACUGGUGUCAGUGUAAACAUCCACAUUCAUAACAUCCCAUAAACCUGCAGUCCCCGACCCCCAGGCUGCAGCCUGGUAAGGGUCCAUGACCUGUUAGGAAACAGGCUGCACAUCACCACCUGAGCUCAAUAACCCCUCCCCCCGACAUGACACCCUACUCUCUCUACCCCUGGUCCAUAGAAAAACUGUCUUCCAUGAAACCAGUCCCUGGUGCCAAAAAGGUUGGGGACCACUGCCAUAAACUAAGUGGGAAUCAUAAUCUUGGUUGUCACACUUGUGUAUUAUUUUUA